rnacentral:lncRNA from 10 species
CUUUAGGACAUCAAGGUGAACCAUAAUUGGGACACAGAAGUUUCUGGAAGAGAUAGACAUGAUGUCUGGAGCUACAGCAGUGCAUUUGAAACCAAGAGGAAACCAGCCUGAGAAUGAAGAGCCAACCUGACAAAGACAAGGAAAAGCCUGCAUGCCUGAUGGCAUUGUCCAGCAACGGAAGCAAGACCAGCAAUUUGUGACUGCUGGGCUUCUCAGCAUAUGGGACACACGAGACCCUCUGCUCCUAGCAGCAGAUACAGAUCAACCUCACACACAGGGUAUUCCUUUGUUUAACAUGCAAUGAGCUUUGGGAUGGACAGCCUGUGAACCAGACUCUCCCUCUCUCCAGGAAAUUUGGUGAGCUAUUCAGCAUCUUUUUAAUCUCUUUCUUGCUUAAACUAGCUGCAGUGAGAGCUCUGUUGUCUGCAACCAAGAAUCUAGACUAAUACCUGCAUUUAGUUAUUUACAUACAGUGUUUAAAAAAGAGAGAGCUGCAGGAGAUUUGGUGUCAUUUUCCAUUUUGAGCUGCGAUCAUUUUUAAAAUGCAGGAUAAUGUCUGCAAAGUACCUGGGGAUAGAGUCAGGACUAAUGAGAUAAUAUCUGCAAAAUGCUUUGAGUUCCCUGGAGCUGCUGAGAGGCAAGGAACAUGCAUUAUCAUCAUUAGAAAAAACAAGCUUUGAAAACUUUGGCAGGAAGGCGGAUAUAAGUGGAAAUCAGUUCAAUUACUCAUGCCUUUCAAAAUAGACAAGUUCUAUAAAAGUUAAAGUAUUUUUUUUUUUUGUAAAUCAAAUUCCUCUUCAUUUCCUCUGUCAAACAUUACUGUUCUAUGAUCUUUCAAUUAUUUUUGGUUGGACUCCCUUUGACAAUGUAUUGAAGCAGCUUUCGUUUCUCUGCUUCCAGAUUCUCUGGCAGAAUAUUCUCAAACUUCAAAUCUAUCUCCAUUUUGAGAAAAUAUACAAAGCAUAUGCUUUCUUUUAAUGUUACUUGAAAUUUCAAAACAACAUGGUGACCAAAACUAAAC